rnacentral:rRNA from 1 species
AACGAACGCUGGCGGCAUGCCUAACACAUGCAAGUCGAACGAACCCUUCGGGGUUAGUGGCGCACGGGUGCGUAACGCGUGGGGAUCUGCCCUGUGCUUCGGAAUAACAGUUAGAAAUGACUGCUAAUACCGGAUGAUGUCGCAAGACCAAAGAUUUAUCGGCAAAGGAUGAACCCGCGUAGGAUUAGCUAGUUGGUGGGGUAAAGGCCUACCAAGGCGACGAUCCUUAGCUGGUCUGAGAGGAUGAUCAGCCACACUGGGACUGAGACACGGCCCAGACUCCUACGGGAGGCAGCAGUGGGGAAUAUUGGACAAUGGGCGAAAGCCUGAUCCAGCAAUGCCGCGUGAGUGAUGAAGGCCUUAGGGUUGUAAAGCUCUUUUACCAGGGAUGAUAAUGACAGUACCUGGAGAAUAAGCUCCGGCUAACUCCGUGCCAGCAGCCGCGGUAA